rnacentral:rRNA from 1 species
UACAGAGGUCCCAAGCGUUGUUCGGAUUCAUUGGGCGUAAAGGGUGCGUAGGCGGCGCGGUAAGUCGGGUGUGAAAUCUCGGAGCUUAACUCCGAAACUGCAUUCGAUACUGCCGUGCUUGAGGACUGGAGAGGAGACUGGAAUUUACGGUGUAGCGGUGAAAUGCGUAGAUAUCGUAAGGAAGACCAGUGGCGAAGGCGGGUCUCUGGGCAGUAACUGACGCUGAGAAGCGAAAGCGUGGGGAGCGAACAGG